GGUGGCUCAGCUGUAGAGCGCUUGCCUUGUAUGCAAGAGGACCUGGGUUCGAUUCCUCAGCACCA
rnacentral:tRNA from 1 species